UCCAAAGUACAAAUAUACCACCUUCAACUCUCACGUCUCUCCCCUCAUCCCUUUGAUUCACUCACUCUUGCCUCAUCCCUUUCACGGUGGACGAAGGACGAUGAUACGGUGGACGAAAGACGUGGGAGGACGACGGAAGACGACGAAUGAUGACGAAGGACGAAUGACAGCCUGUGAUCUGAGAGGACGAACAAACACUGCAAUUACUUCAAGUUCGCAGAUGACGAUGACGUUACCUCCACAAUCCGUGCCAAUGCUGGACCUCAAAUAGAUUCAAGAACAGAAGAAAUUAAUGAUCUAAGAAGAAGGCUUAGUGAGAUGGACAAUGCAGUUUAUGAGCAUGAUAGAAGGCUUCAAAGGGUGGAGAAGAUUUUGAAAGCAAUGACUUAUGUCAUUGUAUUUUGUAUAUUUUUUUACUUUAUCAUGUAAAUGAAUCAGUUGUUACGUUUUGGACAAUGUUAUGAAUGUAAUCAGUACUUCUUUUGUAUGUUGUAUUUUGUAAUCAAUACUGCCUACUAUUUUUAUUUUCUAUUUUAUUUUGUUUUGUGUUUUGUA